GAGUUUACUUGCAAAGCUUCUUACGUCAUAGAGAGAAAUCUAUCUGGUGCGAAUAAUUUAGUCAACCCCAUUAUAGAACCCAGCCUAGUAAUUUUUAAUGAUUAGUAUACAUUAAGUAUUAUCAAUAAUCGGCUUUUUAAUCUUUAUUUUCAAAUAAUUUACCUACUUUUCAAGAGCGAAUCUUCACCGUAUUUUGUCACGCUAUACAAAUUAAAUAAUUGCCUUAAUAUAAGUAGAUUCAUUUACAAUACGUAUAAAGGAAUUCUAUGAUAAUAAGAGUAAUAAUAGAGGUUUAUAGUGUUUAUCUAGAAUAAUUGGCGUGCAAUAGCUUAGAGAUUCUCAAUCAAUACCGAAAAAACAGUUCCUGAAAUCAUUUCAGAUAUAGCUUUACGAGCAGAGGUACCUGGAGCUUUUAGUUAAAAGAGCUAAAAGAUUUCUUUUUGAAAAUGGCAGAUUCGGUUUCUCUGACAGUUCCUGAAGCCCCACGAAGAAAAUCUUCCUCGCCACCAAAACUUGCUGGUGGUGGAGAUACCAAACCAGUUUCCCCGUUUCAAAUUUUGUCAUUUAAAAUGUUUAUGGUUGUCAUUUAUCUCAGUAUCGGUUUUGGACUUGCAUUCUUUCUUGGCAUCUAUUACCUUUUUCUGUGGGAACCAGUACGAGGAAAUUACAGCCAACACCAUAUAUAUAUCGGACAUUCUUCAGCAGUAUUCCACCCUCAAUGAAAGAAACAUAAAAAUCAAAGAAAUUUAGACGCUAAGAAAGGUUCGUUGUUUUUUGAGUAUUCUUCAUGUUAACUUUUAAAUUUAACCUACAUGCUUAGAACCACUCACACACCCACGUUAUAAAUAAGUAAACUUGUAUAUGUGCUAUGUAUGUAUGUAUGUAUGUAUGUAUGUAUGUAAGUUUGCAUGUAUGUAUGUGUGUCGUUAUUCAGUUUUAUUUCAAGAUUUAUGCCAAUAGAGAAAGAGCCGGUUUCUAACCGAGAUCCAAGGCUCCUUCAUAGGAAUUUCAAUAUCAACCGGGUAUUUUUGUAGGUGAGUAUGUGUAGGGUUGCAUAUUUUGUUUUGUGUAUUCUCAUGCAGGUAGUUUCAUGCUUCUGGAUAGUUUUACUGAUUUUUACAGUUCCACUACGAACGAACCUACGUAUGUAUGUAUGUAUGUAUGUAUGUAUGUAUGUAUGUAUGUAUGUAUGUAUGUAUGUAUGUAUGUAUGUAUGUAUGUAUGUAUGUAUGUAUGUAUGUAUGUGAUAAAUUUUCACAAUACGAACAGUUUUUACCCCAAAGAUUCAUGACACUGUUUUUCAAAUUAUAUUUUUUUAAAUAGUUAAUAUCUUUUAAGAAAAUCUUUCCUUCAAUAUUGUGAAAAUUUUUUUGCAGAAACUUUUACAUAUAUGAUAAUUUUCAUCUACCAAUAAAUGUCAAUGUUGUCCCAUUCAUGUUUUACAACUUCCCAAAAUUGAUCAGAGUUUGUCAGUUUACUUCCCACGAGUUUGUCCCCUGUACAACUCCAACUAUUGUCUACAGGAUUCAAAUCCAGUCUCUGAUCUGACUAAAAUAUAAUUAACAGGCAGUUUUUCUAAAGGCAUUUUUGUUUUUGUUCCGUUUAUUGUUUAGAAAAAAAAAAAAAAAACACCUGCUUGUUGAAAUAAAACUUCAUUGGCACUCUUUCCUCCAGGAAAUAAUAUUGCAACUUAGCUUGAAAAAGUAGUCCUCUCUCUAACAAUUUUAUGAAUUCCAAGGCAGUAAUUGAUUUUUCACCAAGAACUGCAGAUUUUUCACCAAGAACUGCACCAUAUCAGUUUUAUUUCAAGAUUUAUGCCAAUAGAGAAAGAGCCGGUUUCUAACCGAGAUCCAAGGCUCCUUCAUAGGAAUUUCAAUAUCAACCGGGUAUUUUUGUAGGUGUGUAUGUGUAGGGUUGCAUAUUUUGUUUUAUGUAUUCUCAUGCAGGUAGUUGCAUGCUUCUGGAUAGUUUUACUGAUUUUUAUAGUUCCACUACGUACGAACCUACGUAUGUAUGUAUGUAUGUAUGUAUGUAUGUAUGUAUGUAUGUAUGUAUGUAUGUAUGUAUGUAUGUAUGUAUGUAUGUAGGUAUGUAUGUAUGUAUGUGAUAAAUUUUCACAAUACGAACAGUUUUUACCCCAAAGAUUCAUGACACUGUUUUUCAAAUUAUAUUUUUUUAAAUAGUUAAUAUGGCGGUGCCCCAGCAUGGCCACAGCUCGUGAGCUGAAACUAGAAUCAAUCAAUCAUAUCAAGAUUCCAAAAUUUCUAUGCUUCAUAGUCAUUGAAAUACAAUUAACAUAGAAUAUCAAACAAGGCAAUGUUCACUAAAAGACAGUAUUCAUAACAAUCUUGGUUUAUUGCUCCAGAAGACUCUGUAAAGCAUUGCUGAAUUUCAGUUACCAUUCCUGGUAAAAAAACAUAUGCCACUUUUCUUUAAAUUUUCUGGAUUAACAGAGAUGUUGUAGCAAAUAAUUUACAGAUAAAAUCUACAUCUUUAAGCC
rnacentral:lncRNA from 1 species